rnacentral:rRNA from 1 species
GGUUAAGUGACUAAGCGUACACGGUGGAUGCCUAGGCAGUCAGAGGCGAUGAAGGGCGUGCUAAUCUGCGAAAAGCGUCGGUAAGGUGAUAUGAACCGUUAUAACCGGCGAUACCCGAAUGGGGAAACCCAGUGUGUUUCGACACACUAUCAUGUCAUGAAUACAUAGUGGCAUGAGGCGAACCGGGGGAACUGAAACAUCUAAGUACCCCGAGGAAAAGAAAUCAACCGAGAUUCCCCCAGUAGCGGCGAGCGAACGGGGAGGAGCCCAGAACCUGAAUCGGCUUGUGUGUUAGUGGAAGCGUCUGGAAAGUCGCGCAGCAAAGGGUGAUAGCCCCGUACACUAAAAUGCACAGGUCGUGAGUUCGAUGAGUAGGGCGGGACACGUGACAUCCUGUCUGAAUAUGGGGGGACCAUCCUCCAAGGCUAAAUACUCCUGACUGACCGAUAGUGAACCAGUACCGUGAGGGAAAGGCGAAAAGAACCCCGGCGAGGGGAGUGAAAUAGAACCUGAAACCGUGUACGUACAAGCAGUGGGAGCACCUUCGUGGUGUGACUGCGUACCUUUUGUAUAAUGGGUCAGCGACUUAUAUUUUGUAGCAAGGUUAACCGUAUAGGGGAGCCGUAGGGAAACCGAGUCUUAACUGGGCGAAUAGUUGCAAGGUAUAGACCCGAAACCCGGUGAUCUAGCCAUGGGCAGGUUGAAGGUUGGGUAACACUAACUGGAGGACCGAACCGACUAAUGUUGAAAAAUUAGCGGAUGACUUGUGGCUGGGGGUGAAAGGCCAAUCAAACCGGGAGAUAGCUGGUUCUCCCCGAAAGCUAUUUAGGUAGCGCCUCGUGAACUCAUCUUCGGGGGUAGAGCACUGUUUCGGCUAGGGGGCCAUCCCGGCUUACCAAACCGAUGCAAACUCCGAAUACCGAAGAAUGUUAUCACGGGAGACACACGGCGGGUGCUAACGUCCGUCGUGAAGAGGGAAACAACCCAGACCGCCAGCUAAGGUCCCAAAGUCAUGGUUAAGUGGGAAACGAUGUGGGAAGGCAUAGACAGCCAGGAUGUUGGCUUAGAAGCAGCCAUCAUUUAAAGAAAGCGUAAUAGCUCACUGGUCGAGUCGGCCUGCGCGGAAGAUGUAACGGGGCUAAACCAUGCACCGAAGCUGCGGCAGCGACGCUUAGGCGUUGUUGGGUAGGGGAGCGUUCUGUAAGCCGUUGAAGGUGGCCUGUGAGGGUUGCUGGAGGUAUCAGAAGUGCGAAUGCUGACAUAAGUAACGAUAAAGCGGGUGAAAAGCCCGCUCGCCGGAAGACCAAGGGUUCCUGUCCAACGUUAAUCGGGGCAGGGUGAGUCGACCCCUAAGGCGAGGCUGAAAAGCGUAGUCGAUGGGAAACAGGUUAAUAUUCCUGUACUUGGUGUUACUGCGAAGGGGGGACGGAGAAGGCUAGGCUAGCCGGGCGACGGUUGUCCCGGUUUAAGCGUGUAGGGGGUGUGACCUGGUAAAUCCGGUUGCAU